rnacentral:lncRNA from 1 species
UGGGAGCACUUCAUUCUUCCUCUUGACUUCUCCAUCUUCUUCUUGACUUCUCCAUCUUCUUCCAUGAUAUUUUGUAAGCUUGAAGUUCUUCAUGAAAAUGGAUAGUCAAACCCAUUUCGUAAGAGCAUUUGUAGUCAGUAAACUCUUUUGUACCUUAUUAUGUUUAUGUUCCACAUUACAUAACUAUAAGUAAAAUUUGACGAGGUUCACACUAUAAGCUCACUAGAGGUGUCAAUUUAACCCAUGACCCCAG